rnacentral:snRNA from 1 species
AGCUUUACACAGUGGGAGUGCUGUAGUCAACGAAGUUUAUCUGAGGCACAAUUAGUACUAAUUCAAAACUUUUUCCAAAAAUGAGUAAUGAAUUUCCCUUGAAAUAAAAAUAAAAGGAGAAUAAUACUUUUU